UCUCCAGAGAUGAGGGUGGUUGCCGAUCCCAGAUGAGCCUCCAAAUGAAAGACCUCCAAAGUGGGGAGACCCUCACUCAAGUUCCAGGAUGACAUGACCCCCCAAGAACUCACAAGAGACC
rnacentral:pre_miRNA from 14 species